GGAGCCGUAGCGAAAGCGAGUUUUAACUGAGCGUUCAGUUACUUGACGUAGACCCGAAACCGGGCGACCUACCCAUGAGCAGGAGGAAGCGAAAGUAAAAUUUCGUGGAGGUCCGAACCCACGAGCGUUGAAAAGCUCGGGGAUGACUUGUGGGUAGCGGUGAAAUUCCAAUCGAGCCCGGAGAUAGCUGGUUCUCCCCGAAAUAGCUUUAGGGCUAGCCUCAAGGUGAGAGAUACGGAGGUAGAGCACUGAAUGUCCUAGGGGGUAUUGCACCUACCGAAGACUAUCAAACUCCGAAUGCCGUCAUCUUAUACUUGGGAGUCAGACUGUGGGUGAUAAGAUUCAUAGUCGAAAGGGCAACAGCCCAGAUCGUCAGCUAAGGUCCCUAAAUGUAAGUUAAGUGGUAAAGGAUGUGGGAUUGCACAGACAACCAGGAUGUUGGCUUAGAAGCAGCCACUCAUUCAAAGAGUGCGUAAUAGCUCACUGGUCGAGUGAUCCUGCGCCGAAGAUUUCCGGGGCUAAAACUUACUACCGAAGCUACGGCAUCAGUAAUGAUGGGUAGGGGAGCUUCCCAUACGGGUUGAAGCAUGACCGUAAGGACAUG
rnacentral:rRNA from 1 species